UACGGAGGGGGCUAGCGUUGUUCGGAAUGACUGGGCGUAAAGCGCGCGUAGGCGGAUCGGAAAGUUGGGGGUGAAAUCCCGGGGCUCAACCUCGGAACUGCCUUUGAUACUGCAAGUCUCGAGUCCGAUAGAGGUGGGUGGAAUUCCUAGUGUAGAGGUGAAAUUCGUAGAUAUUAGGAAGAACACCGGUGGCGAAGGCGGCCCACUGGAUCGGUACUGACGCUGAGGUGCGAAAGCGUGGGGAGCAAACAGG
rnacentral:rRNA from 1 species